UUCCCACCAUUCCCCCCCCCCUUUUUAGAUUUUUUGAUACUGCUCAGGACGAACGCUGGCGGCGUGCUUAACACAUGCAAGUCGAACGAUGAACCACUUCGGUGGGGAUUAGUGGCGAACGGGUGAGUAACACGUGGGCAAUCUGCCCUGCACUCUGGGACAAGCCCUGGAAACGGGGUCUAAUACCGGAUACUGACCAUCGCAGGCAUCUGUGAUGUUCGAAAGCUCCGGCGGUGCAGGAUGAGCCCGCGGCCUAUCAGCUUGUUGGUGAGGUAAUGGCUCACCAAGGCGACGACGGGUAGCCGGCCUGAGAGGGCGACCGGCCACACUGGGACUGAGACACGGCCCAGACUCCUACGGGAGGCAGCAGUGGGGAAUAUUGCACAAUGGGCGAAAGCCUGAUGCAGCGACGCCGCGUGAGGGAUGACGGCCUUCGGGUUGUAAACCUCUUUCAGCAGGGAAGAAGCGAAAGUGACGGUACCUGCAGAAGAAGCGCCGGCUAACUACGUGCCAGCAGCCGCGGUAAUACGUAGGGCGCGAGCGUUGUCCGGAAUUAUUGGGCGUAAAGAGCUCGUAGGCGGCUUGUCACGUCGGUUGUGAAAGCCCGGGGCUUAACCCCGGGUCUGCAGUCGAUACGGGCAGGCUAGAGUUCGGUAGGGGAGAUCGGAAUUCCUGGUGUAGCGGUGAAAUGCGCAGAUAUCAGGAGGAACACCGGUGGCGAAGGCGGAUCUCUGGGCCGAUACUGACGCUGAGGAGCGAAAGCGUGGGGAGCGAACAGGAUUAGAUACCCUGGUAGUCCACGCCGUAAACGGUGGGCACUAGGUGUGGGCAACAUUCCACGUUGUCCGUGCCGCAGCUAACGCAUUAAGUGCCCCGCUGGAGACGCCAUUUUG
rnacentral:rRNA from 1 species